GAGUGGGGGAGGAGAGAGGGACAGAGAGCCUGCUUCUUUAAAGGAACCAACCAGACAGGAGCCGCUUACACAAGUGUAAGCGGCUCCUGUCUGGUUGGUUCCUUUAAAGCAAGCAGGCUCUCUGUCCCUCUCUCCUCCCCACUC